CUGAGCCGGAGCCGCGGCGGUUUUGCGACAGCCGUAAGUGCGCGGGGCGGGCGGCGGAGCGGACGGGAGCGGAGCGGACGGGAGCGGGCGGCGGCGCGAUGAGGCCGCAGCAGGCGCCUGUGUCGGGCAAGGUGUUCAUCCAGCGCGACUACAGCGGAGGGACGCGCUGCCAGUUCCAGAGCAAGUUCCCGGCCGAGCUGGAGAACCGGAUUGACAGGCAGCAGUUUGAGGAGACAGUCCGGACACUGAACAACCUCUAUGCAGAAGCUGAAAAACUUGGGGGCCAAUCUUACCUUGAGGGCUGUCUCGCCUGCCUGACUGCCUACACCAUCUUCCUGUGCAUGGAGACACACUAUGAAAAGGUUCUAAAGAAAAUUGCUAAGUUCAUUCAGGAACAGAAUGAGAAGAUCUACGCUCCUCAGGGCCUUCUGCUGACAGACCCCAUUGAAAGAGGAUUAAGAGUUAUUGAAAUUACCAUUUAUGAAGACAGAGGUUUGACCAGUGGAAGAUAAAACUGUGGAAUGUCAGGUCAGUAAAAAUGGGCUCUGUCCCUGGGUGUACUCUAGCAUACAGAGACUUUUUGUUGCAGUUUUUCAGUUGGCUGCUGUUCUGGUUAUCAUGCUGAUGUCUUUACUUGUGAUGUUUGCAGAUGAUAGCUCAGCGGUGGACUUGCUGUACCAAGGUUCCCCUACCUCCUACUUUAGAGCAUCAUUCCUUUCUCUGCUGCCAGAUCCACAGUGCCAUCUACUACAAGGACUAACUUCCUCCAACUGCUCCCCAGGGGGUGACCUAGCUGGUCAGCAUCCACUUUCCAGUAGAUUUGGAAGCAAGAGGAUCACUUUUUAGUUUUUGUUUGGUUUGGGAUUUAUUUUUUUCCCUCAAGAAAAGGCAGAAGUGGUAAAGCUGUGUUCUCUCCUGAAAGAAAUGGGGCUCUGAGCCCAACAGAGGUUUAGUUUUAGUCCUGUAAGUGCAGUGCUGUUUGUCCCUGGUUCUUAAACCCUUCUGUGUGUCAGUUGGGCUUUGGAAAGCUCCAGCUCCAAGUUGGGAAUUUCCCUCCAGUUCAGUGUAAGAGUGCAGAGAUACACAGUGCCUCUUCCCAGUGAGGAGUGACUCAAGGCAGCGUCUCUUGUGCUGAUCCUUGUGGAAAACCAAAAGGCUAAAGUGUUCCUUGAGUUAAGGUCUUGGUUGUCCCUGGAGGGAGGGGGCUGUAGCCAGACUUUAACCCUGCUGGUUUUUCUGCCCCUGAGUCUGUGCUGUUGUUGGCCUGGUCAGCCAUCAAACAGUGAGCACAGCAAAGUGGAUGCUGAGCCAAUAAAAAUAAUGAUUCCCACCCUUCUCUGAUUAAUAUGUGAAGUGUAAAACUGUUUCUUUAUGGAUUUCUUACAUAUAAUUUAUAGGAAAACAUUGAUUUGACAAACUGUAAGAUACUGUGUAAGAUGGAUUUCUUAAUUCUGUCUCUGGCACGCAUUGAGGAGUUGAGCUGUGCAUUCCUCAGCGUCCCCGUGCAUUGCUCAGCAGAACCUGCACGAGUGCAGCUCCCCACAAUCCAAGCUGGCUGAAUCCCUUCUCUUCCAUCCUUUUCCUGUGUCAGAGCCCAGGUGUCCUGGUGUAGGGGCCGAGUGUCAGUGUCCAGUUGUGGAAGGAACUCAGGAGUUCAGAGGAGAUGCUUUGCAGGGUGCAGGGGCUGGGUUGGUUGGUGGUGGUGCUGCAGGUGCUAAUACUGGAUAUGGAACUCCAGGCUCAUUCCUCAGCCGCUGGGGGGGGUUGAGAUUUGAUUAAUAUUUUCAUUGUAUAAAUUUGUUUUUUUUCUAAACUGUAACAGUGUUUGCCUUUCACAGCUGUUGCAAUAUUGGCAGAAGUACUGAUGGAUCAGUAAACCUUUUCUUAAACUGUG